CCCGUCCCUGGUGACUUUCUUCAGCCAAGAUGGCUGACAAAACAUUACGGGCAAGCAAAUCAAUUUUGAGCAAAUUGCUCAAGGGCCACGGUUGAUUUGUCUGUGAAGAUGACGUUAUUGAAUGUCUUGCCAGCUUUGAUCCAUGCCUAGGCCUGCAGGACGCAAAGUUCUUUGUCAGACGAAUCACUAGAAUCAUUGACUCACUCACGCGUUGAAAAGAGCGAGGAACGAGAUGGAGUCACAAUCCAUGCCAGACACACCUGUGAGCUCUGGAACUCCACCUCCGACAGGCAGAGUCAACAUACGUGGCGGGUUUAUCAGGUCUUCAGUUCACCCUGACAUUUCCAUUCCUCUUCUGACCACUUGACCUACUGCUCACCCGGCACUGCAAGGACCGCCCGGACCGUUCUGCUGUUCUGCUAUUCCAAGGAUGUGUAACCGAAGAGAGAUUCCACGAGUGGGCACAGAAUCAAUAGCCUUCCCACAGCGGACGUCUAUUUCAGCACCGUUUCAUGCUGCUCUGAGACAAGCAUUGAGAAAAGAACAUUUUCAAAUAUUCCAUGAUAUUCUUAAGAUAUGUGUUGACUGAAUAUAAGCAAGUGAUGUCUACUAAAUAAUCAAGUUAGGUUUCUCCAGAAAUAAAUAAUUCUAAAUAA